rnacentral:lncRNA from 1 species
AUCAGUAAUGCUGUACAGGGACUGUGUUCACAGGAUAUAAGGCAAAAAAAAAAAUCCAUCUUCUCGUAAGAGCCUUAGAGACUCUUAGGCUUCUUUACUAGGACAGCUGAGCUCUAAAGCGUGUGAACUUCACCCACCACAACUGUUUGCUCCAUCUCAAGCUCAGGACCCUGCCCUGUCUGCCUAACCACAAGUAUCCAACCCAGUAUCCACAAAUAAAUGCUUCACACACCUACUCCUUCCAUGAAACAUUGCAAAUCUUUUUCUUACUGGUGCUUGGGCUUGCUUUUUUUUUUUUUUUUUUUUGCAAGGAAACAUAUAGAUGAGCCUCAAGAAAUUUAGAAAUUUUUUCAGAGUAACCAGCUGAACAUCAGAAAGUCAUAUUUGAAGGCCAAUCUAGUUAGAUUAGAUAGAUAGUUUUUAAUUUUAACAAACUGUCUUC